UACAGAGGAGCCAAGCGUUGUCCGGAUUGACUGGGCGUAAAGCGCACGCAGGCGGGGGUGCGCGUGGGGUCGUGAAAUCUGGCCGCUUAAACGGCCCAGGGCGCCAUCCCAUACGGCACGCCUGGAGCCUUGCAGAGGUCGGUGGAAUUGCCGGUGUAGUGGUGAAAUGGCGUAGAGAUCGGACAGGAACACCCAGGGGGAAACCAGCCGACUGGGCAAG
rnacentral:rRNA from 1 species